ACUUAUGUUCAUGAAAACUAAUGAGAGGCAAAAUUGGUACUUCAGAGAGAACCUACAGAAGAAAUGCCCUCCUGGCUGUGGAGAAGGUGGAGCUACACUUGCUUCCUGCCCCCUAGCUUGCACCCAAAGUCUUGUGCUAGAAGUUCAGCAACUACACACGUUUCAUGGUAGAGAGUCCAGUGCUGUCCUCUCUCCUAAUAGGAUUGACAUCUGUGCAUCCAAUGCCUUGUGGCAUCUCCAACAACUGUUAUGAGGUGUGUCCCCUGAAACAGAACAAAGAAAGAAAGGUA